CGGUGCAGGGUCCUCCCGCCGGGCAGCUCCGGACGCGCCGGGAGUUGCGGUGCUGCUGCUCGGGCUGGCGCAGGGUCACUGCAUAACGCCGACAACCGUAACGCACCGACGGCCAGGGAGCUACACCGCUUUCUCCGGGAUAGGCAUCCAUAGUUUUGGAGAUUUAAACCAACUGAUUAAGAUUUGCAUUCCCAGCACCUGUCAAACAACUUCCAGGCUGCUUUUCCAGGCUCGGUCCCAAGCUCUGACCCCGUUCAUCUCCAGCAAUACAGAGGCAAAAGGCUGUGGUCCUAGCAGGAGCUACUUCUAGGGAACCACUCCACAGGAGUUUUCCUCAUUGUUUUUUAUAUUUGAAGGAGCAGUGCUUGGCACCUGAAAGCUGCUAAAGGAUGGUGAUGGCAUUGGAAGACAUUUCUGAUAUAGAAGGCAUUUGUAGCUGGGAAGAGAAGUGAGGAAUACAUUUCCCUGAUGAUCAGGGAGCAAGAGCAAAUAUGUAAGAGAUAGAAGAUCUUCUGAGAUCUUACAAGAAAGCAGAAGAGAAAUGAAGUGCAUAAUUUUCAAAUCUGCGUUCUCUCUUGGAAAUACAGCUCAUUUGUUCUUUUCACCAAAAAUUCAGUCGAGUUCUACAGAAUUACUAAAACUGGAACUCGGUAGCAAAAACAGCAGCAGUCUCAAGUAUAGAGACUUGAAAAAAUUAUCUAUACUCUGCAUUUAAUUUUGUGAGAAGAUUCUACCAGACUCUGCAAGAUUUAUUCUUCACUACUGAGAUAUUUCAUAAAUAAAGAUGUGCUAAAAUUCCUGGAAAACAAUCAUGUUCAGAUUGUAUUCCACAAUCCUAGAAAUACCUAGAAAUGAAGUCCUACUAUUUCCAGCUGUGUCAAAUGCCUUUUGCAUAACUAUUUUAUUCCUGUUCAUGCAAUAAACCUCCAAAUUAUGCAUGGCCAAUGCAGAUCUAAAUGCAGGAGCACAAGAUGUGACGUUAGCCCAUUUUCAGUAAUGAAUUUGGAAACUACUUCUGGCUUUGGGAAAAAUAUAGAGAAGACAAUAGCUAUUAUUAGGUUAUCUAGACCAAACUUUUGCCAAUGCCCACUGGAUUUCAUUUUUGUUACUUUUGAGUUACUCAGGCAAUCGUCUGUCACCAGCCACUUGAGGUGAUUAUUCCAGCCCAGUGGUUCUCUCAGCUGGAAUGUUUCUCCUGAUGCUAAGUUUAACAUUUUAUUUUGUUGAAAUUCACCCAGUUCAUCUUUCACAUAUGCUUGAAGUAGCAUUAUAAAUCCUUUUCUGUUUUGAAUCUAACCAAAAUAGAAGAUACAUUGAGUAUAUAGGAAUGAGCACAGAUAAAUAUAUUUCCACCAAUUAGUUUUAGCAGCAUUUAAGUAUUUUUUUCUCCUCUUUUCUCUGCAUACCAAUGUCUGGUUUGCAUUUCUUUGCUUCUGAGCUAUGCACAACUACAGCAGUCCUCAAAAUUUUAUUCCUGAUCUUCAGCUGAUGCUGGGUAACUGCCACUGGAGUAGAAAUUAACAUCUAAAGAGAUGCUAUUGAUCUCUGGUUUGUGACAUGAUGCAGCUAUCAUUAGAACCACAAAUACAUUUGACUUUUUCCAUUAACACCUUAAAUUUUCUUCAUUCUUCCCUUGACUUACCAAAUUAGGUGAUACAUUAAUACACCUUUAAUAUUUUUAACAGACUAUACUCUGCUUCCUGUCCUGCCUCCUAGCGGCAGAUUCAUAAAAGGGAUAGCACGGCCUAGAUAAUUUAGAAUUAUCAGUGUGCAAUCUCCUUGCUAACAGUGCAUGCUUACUUAGAACUUUUGAUGGUUUAGGGUUUGGUUUUUUUAAGUUAUUUUUGUUUCAUUUUGCUUUUCAUUUGCAUUAUUUUGCUGUUUGUGUCUUCUUCCUACCAUCUUACUGACUUUCUAUUCAGGUAUGAUUUUCUUCCUCUUCUCUAUUUAUAAAGAUUUGUGCCAGCAGUCGAUGCCAUGUAGACAGUUUUCCACUGGGAACUCACUGAACGUUCUCCCACACAGCAGCACCGUUUGGUAACAGCUUUUGGCCGCUACCCAAAAAGGAGCUACCUAAGAAGAAGUUAGAGGCCCUGUGAGACCACUCUGAUCCCUUGAACCACUGGUAAAUUGUCCCAAAGCACCCAUCUGAAAUCACACAACACACCAGCACAAGCACUGUGUGCAGUGCAGUGUCCUAGGUUUGCUCACAGAGGGGGAGCCCAGCGCCCUGGGGCGUGGCCAAUGGAAUAUCGCUGUUGUAUAUCGCCCACAUCAUCACUGCCUCUGUCUCAGGAAUAACCGUGAGCUGCUGCCAGCUGCAGGAACAUCUCUUAUCUUGUCAUUGUCUCAGCAGCACGUGGAACUAAACUGAGAUCCUAAGGAAACCGUAUGCAUAUGAGAAAAUACGUGAGCUGCAAUGAAUGAACUACCAGUGAGGAGGGAGAUGGCCAGCAUAUCCUCUGUGAAGAAUCUGCAGUGCUGAAACUCAUUCUUGCCUUCCAAAUUGGAAGAAAGUGGAUUAUUGGAAGCUAAUCUCAGGUUUAUUACUGGAUGCUGUGGAAUUAACACACGGGAGGCCUAUCUCUUUGCACCUGGGUGGGAUAAUGGCAGAAACUUCAGGUUAAUAAAACCUUCUCUUGCACGCACAA